CUCUCAGGGAUGGGAAGUAUCGUUUAGCGCUCCGUUGUACGGCUCGUUUUGGUGUCAGUGCGGCAGGAGGACGCUGCGGGGCGCUCUCCGCCGGGCAAAGAGGAGUAAAGCGGAGUAAAACGGAGUAAAGCGGAGCUGGGAGAUGCAUCGGGCUGUGUCCGGGCGUACCUGGAGGAAGCCCGGACCGAAGCGCUGGCCACAGUGAGUGACCGGGGCAGUUUGGGAAAAGGAGACGACCGCAUCCUGGGUGACAUCUGCCGGAGGGCACGGGGGAAGAAGAGUCAAGGCUUCGCCUCUCUGCCCUGCUCCGAGUGCAGCCGCUAUCUCUUUCCUGCCCGGGGAGCAAGCUGUGCGGGUGGCCCUUGCCCUGUGAGGGUCUGAAGCGCGGUCACACUGGGGCAGAUAACUUCCUUAAGGUCAGAAGUAUUACAGCGGUUGCAUCUGAUCAGUUGUGCUAGCAUUCACAGAUACCUUUGUGAAGUCUCUGCACAGUGCAUGUGUUUACUUCAGUGUCCUCUGGAGAGGGAUAGAGCCUUUCAAAUCAGGUGCAGCACAACUUGACUGCACCCCAAAUUUAUGUGUGCUGGGAGAAAAAAAGGAGUUAGGAGUCCUUCCUUUCUUCCACCUUUCCUACUGACGGAGUCUUCUCUGACCAAGAGAGCAACUCUCACAAAUGACCUCGAGAGACUUUACAGUAUACCCCUAGCCUGAAAUGAUGGAAGAUUUACAUCAGAUAUAAGGAAGAAAUAUUUUACAGUAAGGAUGACGAGGCACUGGAACAGGUUGCCCAGCAAGAUGGUGGAAGCCCUGUCUUUGGAGACGUUCAAGACUUUGGAUAAUCACUGAAUGCUAACAGAACUUAUUUUCUGGAAUGAAGACAAAUGUGGAGUUUUUCUGCUUUGAAUCAGGGUAGAAGAGAUUUUGAAGUGAUACUUCUGUACUGUUUGUCAGCUUCAAACAGCUUUAAGCUUGUAAGUAGGAAUAUUGUUCUCAUCAACAGCUGGUCAGGGGUGAGCAGAAACUACUAUAUAACUGGCACAGAUCUAGAUUCCAUCAAGAAAGAAGUAGGCAGAACCAAUGCUGUUUCUAUUUGGAACUGGGUGAAGGCAGACAAUAAGUCAGAACCCUUCAGCACCCAAAUGAGCACUGUAUCCAGCCUUGGAUCUUCUUUGGCAGAUUGCUCAGGAGAGUCUUAUGUGUAAUGUGUCAUCCUGGCAUAUCCGUAUCUAACUGUGGUUAAUCCACCAAUUUUUUUCCCAAAAGCACAUCUAUCUUACCUAUUUCUGCACACCCUUCCUCUGUGAUGCAUCCUUUUCUUCAAAUCCUCAUGCUAGCCCAGAAAUGUAACAGUUCAGUUCACAUGAGUUCUCUCAAAUGGGCAUUCAAAUGAUUAGGCUCAGAUUAAAAUCCCACUGAUUAUAUGCUUUAAGUAGACUCAAAAUAUCUUUGUCAGAUGUCUUUAACCUCUCCAGCUGUCCUGUUGGUGAACACGAGUCAGAAGCUGAAGUUCUAUCCAGCUGAACUUGGAAGUCUUAACUGUUAAGCCAUUAGGGUAAUGUAUUUGGCAGUUUAAAGAUGUGGACUGGUGAAUUGCUGCAGUGACAGCAGCCUUUUUGGAAUGCUGCCUUGUUUUUUUUUUUAUUAUUAUUAUUAUUUAGUUAGUUAGUUAGUUGGAGAAGAGAGUCUCUCAGGCCUUUGUUUUCUUCUACACACUGAAAAUGAUAUUUUCUGGAAGAACUGAGCUUACUGUGGGCUGAUAAUGUUGAUUUGGUUUUUUGUUGUUGGUGGUUUUUUUGUUUUGUUUUUUUUUUUAAGUGUUCAUGGAAGUUCCUCAGACAGGUUGUGUCUGAAUGUUUUGUACACUGCCUAUGAAGAAAUGAGAAAUCAGUGCGUUCUCCCAAAUACCACAACUUACAGCACCUGAUACAGGAGGUAGCUCUCUUGUUCAGGGCUGCUCUGUAACGUUUCAUUUUGGAGAGGAACUUGAAAAAGCAACGAGCAAGAGUGGAUUAGACACAGAUACUGAAAAAUAAAGUUCUGCUUGUUCGGAUUCAGUGCAUGUGGAGAAAGAAAACGAAUCAACGAGUCUUGUGGCUAUCCAAAAAAAUGAACAGUACUUGAAUCAACUGCACGAGGACAGCACAAAACCUAGAAGACAUUCACUUUGAAAGAGCAACCUCUUAAAAGCUCUCUGGAAUUUUGUCUACCUUGUGUACUGCAAUCAGUUGCAUCAUCAAGACAAAAUCUCAAAGGCUGUCCCAGGUUCAAGGAGGAUUAACUCAAAGCCAGGCCUCUUAGGAACGUUCUUAAGCAGAUCCUGACGUGUGCAGAGUUUGGUCUCCUAGGAAAAGAGGCUCUUACUUAAGUGGCAUAGUGCCUUGUUUUAAAGGCAGAAAGCAUGGAUUAAAUUUGGUUCUGAAGUGCUGUGCAUAGCGUUUCAUGCUACAGAUUUUCAAGGAGAGUUUACUUGUGCCCUUUGAUACUUGCUCCAGGGGCAGUAUUUGUGCAGGCCCGGUGACUGCUUUAUCUUUUGCCUUCACUGUGAUCAAUAUAGGCAAAUAAUUAAAAUAACUGAAUUUGAAACAUCAUAGAGCGUCUGAGAGUUAAGGUAGCCAAGAAAGACGAGCUUUUUAUCAUAGCAACAAUGCAACCACCUUUGAAUGUCACGUACUGCAGCCACAAAAAGAAGAGUAUUGCCUUGAAACCUAUCACCUUACCUCAGCUCCCAUGUCAUUGUCAGUUGUUGUUUUGUACUGUGCUACUUGUCCUUAGGAAAAUCUGUGGGCUAGCGUGUGGGAAGUUGACAUAGACUUUACUCUGGGUCUGAUGUAAGAGGAAUUCAUACAGGCUGCUAUUGCCCUGUUGAGCUGUUCUUUGGCUAUCACUGAAGUAUAGUAUAGAAUAGUAAAGAAUUGCUAUAUGAGGGUUAUUCUUUGUGACAUCUGCUUUUAAGUAUAUAUGAAACUGUGCUAUCGAACAAGAUUCCAUCUCAAAGCUGAGAUAUCUGUUGCCAACAUUCACUCAGGAGAGGGCAGGGCUGCCAUGAGAGGAAGAAACUGAUGCUGCUGAGAUUUUAAGUAUAGAUGAUGUCACAAUAAAUAGCAAGCUAUAUGAGUAGCUUUAUUCCGCUGGCUUUCAGCCCACCUUGGAAGCAAGGUCUGGCGACAGCGCGCUCCUCCCUUGCUGCUCCCCUUCUCCCCCUGGCCCGCCCCUGCGGCUCCCUCAGUCCCGCCCCGGAGCAGCAGACGAGGACCCAUUGGCCCCCGCCCUCCUCUUCUUUGCAUAGGGGAGGCCGUGUCCGCCCCAGGCACCGCCCCUCACGGGUGUGCAGCCGUGCGCGCGCUGUUGUGGCACGUGAGGGCGGCGCACGUGGGUCCGUUAUGUAAAGCAC
rnacentral:lncRNA from 1 species